UGUACCCAAACCAUGUGUGCCUAUUGAAUUAAUCUCCCAUAAAUAGUAUGGAUGCAUCAGGAGCUAAUGUAGCAUUAAACAGAUCUAUAACAUUCAAGGAGAAUUUCCCAAUAAGGUCAGAAAUAUAUUCAACUGUUUUUUCCAGAUUUCAGCAGCUCUCAAUUUUGUGUGUCACACAGAAGAGAGGGAGAGGAUGUAGUUAAGACCUGCUUAAAAGAAAAGUGGCAUGUUGUAGAAAGAAAGGAUCUUGUCCUUAUAUAGCCAGGCAGGUACGUUUCAGAUGUUUGUUUUUCCUUUUAACUAACACUUCAGCCUUAAGGGACUGCAGCACUGGCCGUAGCCAGCUGUUCUAUCCCUCCCUAAUUUUCCCCCUUGGGGAGAUGCUGGCAUUGAAUACGAAGCAGAAGACCCUCUCACAUUCUAGGCACCGAAAAAGAAAAAAAGUGAACCAAUCCACCUUUUUUAUUCUUUCUCUCCUUCCAUCUUACAUAUUUAAUGCAGUUUAAGCUUCCCUUGUUUCAAAAUUUUCUAUUUCAUUUCAUUAAAAAAAACCCCACUAAUUCUCACAGACUCGGUCUAGAAUAAUACCAGUCUUAUUCAUGCAGUGAAACGUGUUAUUGAUCUUAACAACAAAACUCAAGAACCAAGACCAAAAGCAUCAGUGCCUGUUUAGAGGUGUUGAAGUAUAGUGUUUUUAAUUUAAUUCAAUGUUGUUGCUUUAAAAGCUUAUUUGGAUUUGCAGAAUUAAAAAUUGGACCGUUAAGAUGUGCCUGUGUUAACCUCCAUGAUGCCAGGAAUCAAGAUGUCACAGAUGCCGUAGCUAAGGAAAGCCUCUGAGGAUAAAAACAAAAAACCUAUCCUGACAAUAACAAAAAAUGAAAGGAAUAAGCAUCCCAUCCUCUCCAUCUUAGCAUAAGAUGUGCAUAUACAGGGCACUGCAUUUUAUUUAGAAUUGGUACUGUACUUGCAUUCUGAUGAGACACUCCUUGUUUCAUUUCCUUCCUUUGGUGCUGAGUAUGUAUGUAUAUUACUUAAGCCAUCUUAGCAUUAUUUAGGUCACUAGAUUUAAGAGCAGUCUCCAUAGUCUUUCACUGCCUGAUGUGUAGAGCGAUGCAGGGUAGCAGCAAAACAUUUUCUAAUAGGCACUCAUCUUAUGAGCUCUUAAGGAUGGAGCAUUUUGUAACGUAAUCUGUACAGCAAAAUAGCUUCCGUUUAUGCCUUGCAGAUAUAUUUAGCUCUAACCUUGCUUGUGGUUAAGCAGGCAGCAACACAGAAGCAGACAGCUGAUUCUGCAGCCAGACCCUCUGCGCGCUUGCGAUUUUGUCAAUACGCUCAGCUUUUCGAUAAUCCGGUGCAGAAUGAGAGUUUAAGCAAUGAUGAUUUCGUCUGUUACAUGCUUGGCAAUUACGUGCUUAACAACAACAAAAAGCAAAUUACACGGGUUAAGAAAAAGACAGCAAUAGGGAUACAUAUCUAGGACCUAAUACGUACUAUAUGAAAUCUUCUUCCGUCAAUAAGAUAUUUCUGCAGAUAUUCUUUCCAUCCCUCCCUCCAGCGAGUGAAAGGAAUCUUCUGCUUUUCUCGGUAGAUGGAGACAGCCACUCUGCAGACAGGUUUUGGGUGUUUUUUUUGCUACAGAAUCUGAAAUACUUGAGAUUGUAUCAUUGAAGAACAUGGAGCUUGACUGAGCAGUGCAGAGUAACGAUUCGUCUUGCAUCAUCAAUUGAUGACAUUUUUUUCUUUGUUCCCUCCCACCCAGUUGCUCUAAGAUUCAGCAGCCGAUUUGCAAUAUCACUUAAACAACAUUAAUCAGAUACUGCAUUUAAGGUGAGCGGUUCCUUGCCUCCCGUUUAACCAGAUCUGUGCUGCUGUAGUGUGUGCAUCAUGCUGCUGCUGCGAGCCUAAAAUGGCAGGCAGGAUUAAUGUUGCUUGUGCUGUCUGCAUGCUGUGGAUACAGAAUUCAUUAUGCCAUGCCUAGUAUUUCUAAUGGGAGUAUGUAAAUGGUCUGUGUGCCAUAUCAUGUCGUAGUGAAGACUUGGGCUUCCUGAUGGGCAUAGCUAUUUAAACAGCCACCUUUAGCAUUCAAUUUCAUUUUCAGUGCAGUGGGCUGUUAGUUUAUCGUCGCAUUCUAAACCAGCAUUAGCUCUAUUUUAUUUUUUAAAAAAUUGGAUUUAUUUUUUUUUUUAGCGAACUCUGCUUCCAGGUGGGGUCAGUCUUAUUCCUCUUGCCUUUACUGCUAUUUAAAUAAUAGAUGUUGUAUUGUUAAUUAAUGGCAAUAUCAAAUUUAAAGCCCUUGGAAGUGACAUAUUUAUUAUGCAGGCACGUCCAAUCUAUUUUUAACUCUUACGCAGUCUGCGUGUGUUGUGCAGUGGGCUUUGGCUGCUGAGUUUUUCCUUUUCAACAGGGAUAGCACUGGGCUGAUUUUCAACAAAUGUGACAAGUGGCCUUUGCAGUGGUCAGCUUUGAACCCUCAAAAGGGAAAGGGGGGGUGAGCAGGAAGCCCUUUGCUGCAGCUUAUUAAAAAAAAAACACCCACCACCUUGGAUGAGGGCAUCUCCUCCCUCCCUGACAGACGCACACACUUCUGUCCUUCCCAUUGAUAAGUUCAGCUAUCUUGAUCACAGUCCAUUCAAGCAAGCUGCUUUUUGAAAAGAGCUAUUUAUUUUAUUUUUUUGAGACGUCUAAGAUUUCAGCGUCUCUCCCUCACUUUGUAUACAAAUGGCUGGGUGCAAUGGCGUGCUAAGACUUCAUUAAGACAUAUACACAGAUUUCUUCUUCAGGCUCCAGCCCUAUGGUUGCCGGCUGUUUCGGAUACAGUUGUUGAUAUUAUCUCUGUCUUUGGGAGCGCUUCAUUUUCUUUGCAGCAUCAUUUGCAGGCAUGCAAAUUACAUUUUGUGUGUGUGUGUA